GACAGAGGGUGCAAACGUUGCUCGGAAUCACUGGGCGUAAAGGGCGUGUAGGCGGUAAGGAAAGGCAGAUGUGAAAUCCCUGGGCUCAACCCAGGAACUGCAUUUGAAACUCCCUUUCUUGAGUACCGGAGAGGAAAGUGGAAUUCCUGGUGUAGAGGUGAAAUUCGUAGAUAUCAGGAGGAACACCGGUGGCGAAGGCGGCUCACUGGCCCGAUACUGACGCUGAGGCACGAAAGCGUGGGGAGCAAACAGG
rnacentral:rRNA from 1 species